GACGAACCGUGCGAACGUUGUUCGGAAUCACUGGGCUUAAAGGGCGCGUAGGCGGGCGGUCAAGUCCGGGGUGAAAUCUUUCGGCUCAACCGGAAAAGGGCCUCGGAUACUGGCUGCCUGGAGGGAGGUAGGGGCAUGUGGAACUUCCGGUGGAGCGGUGAAAUGUGUUGAUAUCGGAAGGAACGCCGGUGGCGAAAGCGACGUGCUGGACCUCUUCUGACGCUGAGGCGCGAAAGCUAGGGGAGCGAACGGG
rnacentral:rRNA from 1 species